rnacentral:rRNA from 3 species
CCUGGCGGCCUUAGCGCGGUGGUCCCACCUGACCCCAUGCCGAACUCAGAAGUGAAACGCCGUAGCGCCGAUGGUAGUGUGGGGUCU